rnacentral:rRNA from 1 species
AUCGGAUACUGGGCGUAAGCGCACGUAGGUGGUUUGGUAAGUCGGAUGUGAAAUCCCCGGGCUCAACCUGGGAAUGGCAUUCGAGACUGUCAAGCUAGAGUCUGGUAGAGGGUGGUGGAAUUCCAGGUGUAGCGGUGAAAUGCGUAGAUAUCUGGAGGAACAUCAGUGGCGAAGGCGGCCACCUGGACUGAGACUGACACUGAGGUGCGAAAGCGUGGGUAGCAAACAGGAUUAGAUACCCUGGUAGUCCACGCCGUAAACGAUGUCAACUAGAUGUUGGGAGGGUUAAACCUUCUAGUGUCGCAGCUAACGCGCUAAGUUGACCGCCUGGGGAGUACGGCCGCAAGGUUAAAACUCAAAGGAAUUGACGGGGGCCCGCACAAGCGGUGGAGUAUGUGGUUUAAUUCGAUGCAACGCGAAAAACCUUACCUGCCCUUGAC